ensembl:lncRNA
GGGGGGAGAGGGGGGGAGGGAAGAGGAGGGGGGACGCCCGGACACCUCCCCCAUGUCCGUCAGUCUGAGAUCCGUCCAAGUUGGGCAGCCUUGAGGUGAAGUCACUGCGCACCCCAAUAAAGUCCGUCGCUAAACAUCGCAGGGCACGCACGCAGUUCUCUCCUCCUUCGGGUCCCAAACUUUAUUUUUCCCCCUGGUGACACUCAGGGGAAGCCUUAACGUUAUAGAAGAUGAAUACACGAGCUUUCUUUUUUUUUUUUUUUCCUCUUUUUUUUUUUUUUUUUUUCAGUUGUAGUCUCGUUUAUGGUUUUAUUGCUACCAUUGAUUACUUUGCUUUGUUACACAGAGGAAAAAGAGCAUAAAAUCCGUUGGCAUCCGGGUUCCUGUUAUAGCUGGGGGGAAAAAUAUACAGCCCCCCCCCAUCCCCCUUCCAGCCCCCCGGCCCUUCUUUGUCAGCUCAAAUCUUUUCGAGAUACAUCGCUAAAAAGGAACGAAGUGCACUGAUGGAGAGCAAACAAACGCUCUCAGCUUCGAACUGGAGUGUGCGCCCAGAGGGGCUCUCCCAGCCCCACACACGUCUGAAUUAAACACCGUGGACCCGAAGGUUUGGGAGGCCGAGCUUCCCCUCCUUCGUGGGGUUUCUAAAUAGGAAAGCACCGGGGCUGAGAUACCCCCGCGCUGCGUGCAGAGCUGCAGGUAUGUUCCACAUCUCGGGGGCCACUGAUGGCUCGAGAUAAUUGCGGCGAAAAUCGGAUGCAAUCAGAUGAGAUUCAUUUCCAUCACUCCUGGGCUCAACCCGCCCAGAGGAGAAGGGAACAGAAUCCCCUCUCCCGCCUCACCCAAUAUUUGCCAUAGAACUUUCCCCAUCAGCUCUAAAUACCCGCAGCCCCCAAUGGCCGCAGCCACGAACCACGAGGUCCCGUCCUCAGCCCCCACAACAUGAGCGCUCCUGUUUGCCCCACACUUCGCCCUGAUUAUUUUGCUGCUGGAAAACGUAGGGAAACGUCAAACUGCAAACCAGGAGAAAUGCGAACUUCGGGCUGGCGUGAGCUCGCAGCGCUGUGUGUUCGUGGUCUGUCUGUCUGUCUGUCCUCCUUUUUAUUUCUCCCCCCCCCUUUCCCCUCCCGAAGACACACUUUAGGAAUGCUCUGAAAGACGUUAUCAGUUCAGAAGUCGCCAUGUUUCCCCCCCCCCCCCCCACCCCUUCCACCCCCACUCCCCCCCUUUUCUCUUUAUGUAAUAUUUUCUCAUCAGGAACACAACCGUUUGGUUCCGUGAUAUUGACCAAGGCUGCAACAGAACGGGGAGGUGGUGGGGAGGGGGGUGGGGGUGGGGGGGGGGGGGUUGGGGAGGAUAAAUAAUAAUAAAAAAAAGUCCCGAUAAUUUAUGGCUUAAUAUUCUGUGGACGUCUGAGAUUUAUGAGCGUGAAUUCUGAGCUGUUUUAUUACGAGAUAUUAAGCAAACAUUUCUUAAAAAAAAAAAAAAAGAAAGAAUAAAAGGGGG